rnacentral:tRNA from 1 species
AACUAUUUGACUGAUUGGUUAAGUAUUUGUUUUGAAAACAAAUAAGAAAGGUUCAAAUCCUUUAAUAGUUU